rnacentral:misc_RNA from 1 species
GAAAUGCGAUAAGUAAUGUGAAUUGCAGAAUUCAGUGAAUCAUCGAAUCUUUGAACGCACAUUGCGCCCGCCAGUAUUCUGGCGGGCAUGCCUGGUCGAGCGUCAUUUCAACCAUCAAGCCCCCGGCUUGUGUUGGGGACCUGCGGCUGCCCGCAGGCCCUGAAAAACAGUGGCGGGCUCGCUGUCACACCGAGCGUAGUAGCAUACAUUCUCGCUCAGGGCGUGCUGCGGGUUCCGGCCGUUAAACGACCUUCAUAACCCAAGGUUGACCUCGUAUCAGGUACGAAUACCCGCUGAACUUACGC